GUAGGUGGCAAGCGUUGUCCGGAAUUAUUGGGCGUAAAGCGCGCGCAGGGCGGCCCCUUAAGUCUGAUGUGAAAGCCCACGGCUCAACCGUGGAGGGUCAUUGGAAACUGGGGGACUUGAGUACAGAAGAGGAAAGCGGAAUUCCAAGUGUAGCGGUGAAAUGCGUAGAGAUUUGGAGGAACACCAGUGGCGAAGGCGGCUUUCUGGUCUGUAACUGACGCUGAGGCGCGAAAGCGUGGGGAGCAAACAGGAUUAGAUACCCUGGUAGUCCACGCCGUAAACGAGGAGUGCUAAGUGUUAGGGGGUUUCCGCCCCUUAGUGCUGCAGCUAACGCAUUAAGCACUCCGCCUGGGGAGUACGGCCGCAAAGGCUG
rnacentral:rRNA from 1 species